rnacentral:tRNA from 1 species
GGAUUGUAGCUCAGUGGUAGAGCACCCGCCUAGCAUGGGCUAGACUGGGUUCGAUUCUCAGCACCA